rnacentral:rRNA from 1 species
CAGCAUGAACUUAGCUUGCUAAGUUUGAUGGCGACCGGCGCACGGGUGAGUAACACGUAUCCAACCUUCCGUUUACUCAGGGUAUAGCCUUUCGAAAGAAAGAUUAAUACCUGAUAGUAUGGUGAGAUUGCAUGAUAACACCAUUAAAGAUUUAUUGGUAAACGAUGGGGAUGCGUUCCAUUAGGUAGUAGGCGGGGUAACGGCCCACCUAGCCUGCGAUGGAUAGGGGUUCUGAGAGGAAGGUCCCCACACUGGUACUGAGACACGGACCAGACUCC